AUUCGUGGCUUCGUCCCCAAUCGGUGAGGAGGGCGACGAUUGGGUGAGAACCCUAGCAUCCACUCCCCAUCGUUGUUCCUCUCUUGCGGCCUGCCUCACUACUGCUACUCUCACCGCCGAGCUCGCCCGCCGCCGCCGCCGCCGCAUCAUCUUCUCCUCCUUGGGAACCCUAGAGCGUCUACUCUCCUGGCUGUUCGUAUCUUGGCUCGCCACAAAAAAUGGGCAAGGGUGGGUAGGACGAGGCCAUGGCUAGGGUUUCGGGCUGGGCAUCGCCUUCGUCGCCGGCGCGGACCCGGUGGACUCCGGCGGCUCCUCUCCGUCUCCUUUUCCGUCCCCACGCGCGGCUCCGCUUCCCGCUGGCCAUGGGGUGCAGCCUUACAGGGGCGCAUCGGGCUGGGUAUCCUCUGUUUCUGAGUGCAUGGGGCGGUUUGAGAUGGCUGCUACUCCCUACAAAUUGCUCCCUACACUGCUUGAUGUUACUAUUCCUCCAUCCAUAGUGAGAGAUGUGUUGUUGCUGCUGCUGUAGGUUGACAUUGUGUGCUCUUGGUGCUGUAGAUUUGAUUAUCUAUAGCUUUUUAGGCUGUUGCUGCUACCUCUGUUGUAUGCUUUGUAUGUUGCUGUUGUUAUUGAUUAUUUGUUUCUAAUAGUCUAAUUGGAGCACACACCGAUGGCUCUGUUUUCAAUUUGCAGAUUUGUCCCCAUCAAGUAAAACACUCUACAUCAGUGUAAUUGCAGCAAGAUUAGACAAUAGUUUGCUCCUUAUCAAUGCUUCACAUAUUGCUUGUGUUUAGGGCACUGCAUUGUUAGGUUCUUGGGAGUAUGGGAUUGUCUAUUUCUCUCUUAUGUACUAUCUAUUCUCGGUGUUGAACAAUGUUUUGGUAUAUGUUCAUCUACUAAUUACCAAAUUGUUUCCUUUCUCAGUGUUCUCCAGUGAUGGAAGGGGUUCUAAUGUUUUUCCAGUCAGGAUGAAAAUAAACUUCCAAAAAUAUGAACCAGGUGACAAUGAUUUUCUUGCAGUAAAUCUCCCUUAUUUGCUACGGUACUUUCGAUGGUUCAGCUACGAACUAAUUAGAUAAUAUCUAUUGUUGAUUUCUUAUUCUAUAAAAGUGCCUUGAGAUGCUCUUGAAAUAACCACAAUCCCAUUGUUUGUCAUAUCAUAAUAUAACAAACUGUCAUAUAUGAAGUUUUUCAUGAUACAAACAUAUAUUUGUUUGUUUGUAGGGCUCAGAUUUUAAAUUUCCAGUGGGUUGCUGACUAUUUCAGUUUUUUCAACAAUUUGGAUGCUCUUGACUGAUAUUGCUAUUAAGCUAUGAAGCAAAGAUAAUUGUUGGUCUCUACAGGAUGAGCCACCAACAUGAAUAAAUCCUUGCAUGUUCUUUUUACCCUUGAAUCAGUUUGCAUUUCCCCCUUAUUGUUGGUACAUUGCUCUGCAACAUUUUAUUCCUAUUAUACCAUGGCUACUUUAGUUGUAAGAGAUGCAUGCUUACAAAGUUUAAUUAUAUAUGUUCCGUAAAUAGGUUGCUUUCUAAAACACGUGCUGCAUAUACAAGGUUGAUCUCCAGGUCUAGCCAUGAGUCACUUUGUUGAUAGGUGUAUGCUUUUACGUAUUUUUAAAAUGAAAAUAGUCAUGGCGAAGUGUCUAAUCUUAGGUAUUUACAUACGGUUGAACCAUCGAUAUGAGAACUUUUUUGUAUUGCUUUCUUUUAGCUCUGUCCAUGGUGCUCUCAUGGAUGUAUUUAUACCUUUGCACAGCGGUGACACCUCUCCACGUAUACAUGUCCAAAAAUAUAUUUUAUGGAAAAUUGGAGAUUCGGUUGAAUCUGACCAAGUAAUCACUUUUCUCGCAGACUCUGCCUCUAUCCCAGUAAUUCUUUAACAAGUAUUCUUCUUCUUUUCUCAACCUCUUGCAUGCAAUUUCAGGUCACUCCAUCUAUCCGUGGAAUAUACAUGUUUGUAGCAUAUUUUGUGAUAUUUUGAACUUUUGUUUUUCCAAGAUUAUUAUUGUACAUUUGUCUGUUUAACUUCCUGGAUGGCCUAAUUAUGAGCUUGCGGAUGCUCAAGAAAUCUCAAAGAUCUGUUUGGUGGUCUACAAACGUGUUUCUGUUUUUACAGUGAUAGACAAACUUUUAAUCGUGCCGGCCAAGUAUAGUUCUAGGAUCAAUGCUUAUAGUUUGUUGUCAACUACUUCCACUGAUGGAUGAUAUAUUUAUAUAGAUUGUGAGCAUUUUGGCAGGCCCAUCGCUCAGUAAAUAUACCAUAGACUGGACUGGUGGAUUGAGUAUAGUUGAUCAAUACAUAUUCUGUUAGACAUAUGUAUGUUUUUUAAAUCGGCCAUGUGACUGCUUGCUACCGGCUUGAAUUGACCCACUCCUACAUAUGAAAUUGUAAUUUGUUGACACACACUUAAAUAAGCAACCACAAUCUGUCCUAAAGGUGACAACCCUAUCUGUUUAGUGGAGUAACGGUUGAUGAUAUCUCUGUUUUGCUGAAAAGUCGCAUGUAAAAAUAAUGUUCAAUAACCAAUACCCGACCCCUGUCGAUUUAUUUCCAGUGGCCAUUUCCUAAAAUUCCAGGAGGGAGAGGGCGCUCUUCCAUCCACGCUGCUACGAAAGUGGAAUUAGGCUAUCGAAACUUGCUUUAUGGAGUAGUAUCAUCACGAAACCUUGCCUUUUCCUAUUCUAUUCGAUUGCUUACCCUGUUUCUGUGACAAAGGCCUGUAAUAGAUAUGAUUAGGCACAUAUUGAGUGUCCAAUAUCAUAAAUAUUGAGCAUACAAUUUCAAUUUCAACUUAAACAUACAAUCUGCUCUUUCUUCUUAAUAUAUAGAGGAGGGUAAUCAUAUAUUGUCUGUUUGAUAUUUGCAUGUAGUUAUUAUUUCAUAAAGGCCUAGCUAUGUUUGACCUUCUGUUAUAUCUGGACAUCUUGGUUCUAAAUUUCAUUCCAGAGAUAUGCUAAUAUUUCAUUUAGAUUGGUUGUCUUAGGAAAUGAUAAAAUGCAUUCUCUGUUUGUUCUAUCUUUCCCUGUUUUUGCCAUCUUCAGUAUUUGUUGUUUGUUCAUAAGUGUAACUUUUUGUCGUCGUUAGAGAGAGAGAGAGUGAUGUGAUGAGAGAUGAUGAGAGAGAGAGAGCGAUGUGAUGAGAGAUGAUCAUGUUUACAUUUUACAGCAAAAAAUGUUUCUUUGUUGAUCGGUUUUGCUCGAGGUAAAAAAUUCUACCUCCCUUUUUUGUUUCCAAUUAAGUCAUCUUUGCAAAUUUAUGUUGUGCAUGUACACACGUUUUUUUUAAAACUGCAUGAGAAAAGUUACCAGUAGAUAAGUUACAGAUCUGCCAUGAAUCCUAUUGUCCUUGCAGACCUACAUCAGCAAACUUUCGAUUACGUAUAUUCUUAUUGUUUGUUCAGUUGGCAUACUGCAUUGGUUAGGUUAUAGUCCAUGUGUGUAAGUCUUGAUAGCAUGAGCUUCUGUUGAGGGCACUUUGAUCAGGUGGCACUGCACACCUCAAAUCACGGCAAGUUUGUUCUUCACCUAUACAGUACUGUCACAGUCACCCGGCCAGAACUUGAAAAUUGAACCAGAGAGUAGUACUUUCUUAGGGAGCUAGGUCAAUGUUGUAUAAAAGGAGAUUUAUGAGAUUUCAGUCUUGAAAAAUUUAAAGGUUUAUCUAUAUCUGCUGCAAGGCUUGGAUUGCCAUAUAAGGCCGAAUUCAGCAUGUAAGAAAGCAGAAUAAUUCAUUGAUAGUGUCACGGUUUGAUCCAGCUCGAUGGCAAGCUCCUCUGCCCUCCCAGAGCCCGGUGAUGAUUUGUGCGGUCAGUCCUCCCCGCACGAUGGUGGGCGAAGGAGGUGCACGUCUCCGACGAGUUUGUCGUGCCUCCCUCUGGUUCCGUGAUGGCCGACGGCGAGGUGCCCACCGGUUGAUGGUGGAGCUGCGAUCCAAAGUUGGAGCAUACCCUUUCAUUGGUGCUGUCAUUCUCUCCUCCACGACCGUUGUUGUCACGAGCCCAAGUCGCUUGGUUGGAUAUCAACGGCGUUGGUGGACCUAAUAGAAAUUGGAUGCUUCAAAGGAUUUGAAGGGAGUUUAUUGUAGGUGAGUGUGACAAUCUGCAGCCUCACAUGCAUCAUUAGCUUCCCUUAUCCUGCAACAGGUAUUUUUCAUGUUUUGUAUCUUGCUAGGUUCAAUUAUUUCUUGGCUUAGAGCAGCGACGCAAGUAGAGAGAGAGAGAGAGAGAGAGAGAGGCCGUUUCCUAGACUGCAGCUCCUCCCAUCAUCUUGGCUUGCAGGUCGCCAUUGUGACAGAGCCGGACGGGAUCUCGGGCCAGCCUGACACCUAGCUUCCGGUCCAGUGUGUUGCCAAAUUAGCCCCCUAGCUAUAAAGGUUCAUGUAAAGUGGUGCCUAUGAAGAUCAUCAACAAGGCAGUUGAGUGGAGUCACUUGUUAGUAUGAAGUGGCGCCUAUGAUGCAGAGGCAGGGGCAAACCCCCUUUUUGAAAAGAAAAAAAAUGAUGUUGAUCGACAAGGCAGUUGAGUGAAGCCACUUAUUAGUAUGCUUAGUAGUUGUGGCUUUGUGGUUGUCUCUCCUUUGCUAUGUUCAUGCUCUUAUUACCCCCUCUCUUAUAUUCACACUUGUGGUAUUCGGGUGGCUAUCUUUUGUGGUCUUAUGAACACACUGAAACCAAUUCUACCUUAUAAUCUUAAGCUGAUACUGAGCCCAUGUCUUGCUUAUAUAAUAGUUGAAUGUUUCUUCUUCA